rnacentral:rRNA from 1 species
UGCAGUNNNNNAAGUAGCAAUACUUAGUGGCAGACGGGUGAGUAACAUGUAGGUAUCUUCCCUUUGGUGAGGAAUAACACGAGGAAACUUGUGCUAAUACCUCAUAAGUCUUUACGGAGAAAGCUUUAUGCGCCAUUGGAUGAGCCUGCACUUGAUUAGUUUGUUGGUGGGGUAAUGGCUUACCAAGACAAUGAUCAAUAGCUGAUUUGAGAGGAUGAUCAGCCACAUUGGGACUGAGACACGGCCCAAACUCCUACGGGAAGCAGCAGUAGGGAAUCUUGCACAAUGGGGGAAACCCUGAUGCAGCGAUGCCGCGUGAGUGAAGAAGGCCUUUGGGUUGUAAAGCUCUUUCGUCGGGGAAGAAAAUGACUGUACCCGAAUAAGAAGGUCCGGCUAACUUCGUGCCAGCAGCCGCGGUAAUACGAAGGGACCUAGCGUAGUUCGGAAUUACUGGGCUUAAAGAGUUCGUAGGUGGUUAAAAAAGUUGGUGGUGAAAUCCCAGAGCUUAACUCUGGAACUGCCAUCAAAACUUUUUAGCUAGAGUAUGAUAGAGGAAAGCAGAAUUUCUAGUGUAGAGGUGAAAUUCGUAGAUAUUAGAAAGAAUACCAAUUGCGAAGGCAGCUUUCUGGAUCAUUACUGACGCUGANGAACGAAAGCAUGGGUAGCGAAGAGGAUUAGAUACCCUCGUAGUCCAUGCCGUAAACGAUGUGUGUUAGACGUUGGAAAUUUAUUUUCAGUGUCGCAGCGAAAGCAAUAAACACACCGCCNGGGGAGUACGACCGCAAGGUUAAAACUCAAAUGAAUUGANGGGNACCCGCACAAGUAGUGGAGCAUGUGGUUUNAUUCGAAGANNCNCNCAGAACCNUACC